rnacentral:tRNA from 1 species
GGUGGUGUAGCGGUUAAGCGUUUGGCUGCUAACCAAAUGGUCGGCAGUUCUAAUCCACCACCU